rnacentral:sRNA from 1 species
GAGAGGGCGUGGCGAGGGAAGCAGAGGAGCGCAACAGAGGAAGUCCACCUGGGAUGAUAUCCAACAACUCAUGAGAGUGUUCUUCAUGAUCAAAGAGAGAGAGAGGAUAGUACAGGAAGCCAGAAAAAAAAGUCCCAGGGUUACCAUUGAUUACCAGGCUAUCAUCGACAGCAGAUUUGACUAGACCUGACUGGGACUUAAUAUGGCAGGAGGUAUCUUCAGCACCCGUCCUGGACAAAUGACACCAACGUGGGGCAUAAGAGGAGUUUCAAGGGAUUGGCGGAGAACGAAUCACCUCACUAGAAUGGUACCGUCCCGGCCAACUGACUCCAGGUGCAAAACCCGUGCAUGCGCAGUACCAUUGUUCACCACAGGAGGGCGCCCUACAUGUCAUGCUUGCUAGCCAAUAGAUUCAAAGGUCAAUAUGCUUAGCCAAUAAGUUUAAACUGUAACCUUGACCUGUACCCCUAAAAAAGUAUAAAAACUGCUUGUUAUAGCCAUUCGAGGUCACCUUCCAGUCACUCAGCCCCACGAGGAGCCUAAUUGAAGUCGACCCUGACGCGCUGGAAAAUAAACCUCUUGCAUUUGCAUCUAACUCUGUUCUUGUGUCUCACUUGGGGGGUCUCCCAGUACUUAAAACUCGAGCCUUACAAACAAAGAGUGAUUUAUUCUGCAGAAGCCCAGCAUGCUGGGGGUGGGGCGUCUCCCAUUACCAAGAUAGAGAGACCUCUAUGUGAGUUCACAAUUGAAAGCACAUUAGGGGAGUUCCAGGGUAGGUGGGCUCUUUCUUUAUCUCUAGUCAAGUGCAGUAGUGAGAAGGGGAAAGUAUAGAUCAGGACUUCAAUCUGUAACGGUGAACAAUCCAUUGAGAUAACGCACUACCUUUAGACCAGCCUGUCUGAUUCCUCAGCAGGAUGAGACAUCCCUGUGACUUGUUAUCUCUCACAAACAACAGCUUUCGAUUCACGGCUUCUGGCAAAUGUUUGGGAGAGGAAGGGCUCGGUUUUAUUUAAGGGGCAGGCCACUGAGAGUUUGACCGUGCUCUCCAGUGACUACAUCGGUAACACUUGGUUUAUCUAUAUAGUCGGUUUAUUUGCACUGGUUUUUAUUUUCAGAUCAACUUAGGUGACACUUCUGGAAUAUCAAGAUGCAGGCUUAAAGGAAUGGAAAUGACAGCCCCCAUACCGCGUGCCUGCGUGCGUGCG